CGCGGAAGGUUACUGUGAAAGCGUCUUGUACCACCAUUCGCUUUAAGUGGGUCACGCACCCAUCUAUGCACUACUAUAUUCAUGACAAUGGCAUCUUGCAUGGCAGGUUCCUAGAUACAUAGUUGGAUGCCAAGAAAAAAAUUUCCAACUCAUCGCUAGCUUUAAUUUGGAAUAUUAUGUACAAUUCACAAUAUACUCUGCAACUUGAAUCAAAUCUACACAAUGAUUUGGAAAGGGUAUUACACCCUCAAUUUGACAAACUGUAUAACAUAGAUAGAUAGAACCAUUCAAUAGAAACCAGAGGAAUGAAGCUAUCAAUAUUUCCACGUCUCCUUAAUA
rnacentral:lncRNA from 1 species